AGAGAGAGACAUGCGCGCAUAUCAAUAAGCGGAGGAAAAGAAACUAACAAGGAUUCCCUUAGUAACGGCGAGUGAAGCGGGAAGAGCUCAAAUUUGAAAUCUUCAAGGUUUUACCUUGACGAAUUGUAGUUUAAAGAAGUGUUUUCUGCUGAAGUUUUGGUAAAAGUUCUUUGGAAUAGGACAUCAUAGAGGGUGAGAAUCCCGUAUUUGACCAUUAUUUUCAGCUCUUGUGAUACACUUUCAAAGAGUCGGAUUGUUUGGGAAUGCAGUCCAAAAUGGGUGGUAAAUUUCAUCUAAAGCUAAAUAUUGGCGAGAGACCGAUAGCGAACAAGUACCGUGAGGGAAAGAUGAAAAGAACUUUGAAAAGAGAGUUAAACAGUACGUGAAAUUGUCAAAAGGGAAGCGUUUGACACCAGUGUUGUUUUCUCGAAAAUCAAUUAAAAAUGGCUCGAUUUCGUAUUGUUUGAGACCUUAAAAGCUCACUGUACAUUUUUCGUGUCUUUUUUAAUGCACUUUUCGUUUAACAAGUCAACAUCAGUUUCUUUUGUUGUAAAAGGGUCAUUGGAAGGUGGCUUUCUUUUCGGAGAAAGUGUUUAUAGCCUUUGGCCUCUGCAAUCGAAGAGACUGAGGUCUGCAGCGUAGACUCUUCGGGGUUAGAUACAUUUGUGCUAAGUUAUAGCUUUUUAUAGACAACUUGUUGACUAUAAUUAGUCUUGUAGCUUACUCGCUUAUGCUAUUUUACCUACGCUUAGGAUGUUGAAGAUGUAGCACAUCAU
rnacentral:rRNA from 1 species